UACCUAGUCUAGCAUUAAGGGGUAGUGAUCAGUGUGGACACUCAUCUGUACAUUAGGGUUAGUGAUACAGUGAUCUGGACCUACCUCAGUCUGUACAUUAGGGUUAGUGAUACAGUGAUCUGGACCUACCUCAGUCUGUACAUUAGGGUUAGUGAUACAUGAUCUUGAUGACCUACCUCAGUCUGUACAUUAGGGUUAGUGAUGCAGUGAUCUGGACCUAACCUCAGUUGUACAUUAGGGUUAGUGAUACAGUGAUCGGGACAUCCGUCUGUACAUAGGGUAUAUACAGUGAUCUGAUACGAGUCUGUACCAGUCCCGGAUCCGAUACAGCUAACUAAAGUAUCACACAGAUUACAUCUGUUAAAAUGGCAAUAUCUAACCCUUUUGAGUAACCCACUAAUCCACAUAGAAUUAUGUUAUAGAUCUGUCAAACGUGCUGUAAAGCCAAUCUAAGUAGCUGUCUGUCUGUCUGUCUGUCUGUCUGUCUGUGUCUGUCUGUCUGUCCGUCUGUCUGUCUGUCUUCUGUCUGUCUGUCUGUCUGUCUGUCUGUCUGUCUGUCGGUCGUGUCUGUCUGUCGGUCUGUCUGUCUGUCUGUCCUGCUCUGUCUGUCUGUGCCUGCUGUCUGUCCUUCACACGUGAGAUAGACAGGGUCUGUAACGACCUUCUGACCUGUAUCUCGUGUCUGUCCGGUCCUGGCUUCAUGCUGAGUAGACAGGGUCUGGAACGACCUUUUGACCUGUAUCUCUGUCUAUCUGUCUUCACUGCUGAGUAGACAGGGUCUGGAACGACCUUCUCUCUCCUCCUGUUGUGUUGUCUCUUCUCUGUGUGGUUGAUGUCAGCAUAGGUCACAUCACCUGGACCAGAUCCACCUGGAACUAAACACAGGAGAGAGAGAGAGGAUAUUAACACAGACUGGACCAUAUCCACCUGGAACUAAACACAGGAGAGAGAGAGAGGAUAUUAACACAGACUGGACCACAGGUGGAAUUUGUCCAGGCUCUGUUUAAGCUAUC
rnacentral:lncRNA from 1 species